GAGAAUGCCGGCUGCACAUCGACUCUCCGAACGGCCAUCCACGUGGUCGUCCACCCCUCGUGCAUAAACAACAACAAAAAAAAUUCACAAAAAAAAAGAAAUAAAAAAUCAAGUGCAAGCGUUAACCUUGGAAAUUUACAAAAAAAGGUUCUGCGUCGAGAGAAUGCAAAGAUCGAGAGUGGAUUGGUGUCUCAGCCGCGAGAGAUGAUAGACAGAUAGUGCAUGGGAAAAAGAAGAGGUGAAAAUUAUUGAGGGAUUUUAAAAGUGAAUGAAAUCGUAAGAUAUCGCGAGAUAUGUCCUGCGAGAAAGCGUCGAAACGCCUGCGGUGCAUCAUCGCGAAGGCGAGGAGACUGGGCCUGACGGAGUGGGAGUUGGCUGAUUUAUCAGGUGUCAAGAGAAUCACGUCGUCAAGCACAAGUCCAAGCACUUGGUCGUUAGUUGCAGUGAUGAUUGGAUUAAUUAUUGGAGGAACUUUGGUACUGGCUACUAUCUGCAAUCCUUGUGGUAGACACAUUCAUCAUGUUCACAGGGGCACUUAAUCCUGAUGGAAUACUGAAGAGAGUGGAUGGAUGCGAGAGGAAUUCAUCAUCAAUUAAUUCAGAAUGAUUUCUAAUGAAAC